rnacentral:ribozyme from 1 species
ACCCCACGAUAGGUGUCACCUCCACGUGGUGUGGGGUGGGCAACUCACCCACAAGGGUGAGGCUGAGAACACC